AGGACGCCCGCGCGGACGUGUUCGUGUGGGUCGUCCGUGGCGCGGCCGAGCAGGAGGCCCAGCGUUUCCGGGUCGUCGUGCCAGCCCACGGCGACCGCC
rnacentral:tRNA from 1 species